AUGUUGAAUCUCAAUAUUUUAAACGUUGUAUACAAAAUACAAGAAUACAAAAUAAUAUUAAACGUCGUGAAAUUAAGUAACUCGGUUUAAAUUGAGUGUUGAUAAUCUGUGAAUAAAUGAACGAUUAUCUACGUUGUAUAUAUAUAUUCUAUAUCAACGUAGUGAAACAACUCACACGUUGCUGUUUCUAUUGUUAUUACUGUUGUACCUACAUAGUGAAACAACUAACAUAUUGCUGUUUCUAUUGUUAUUACUGUUGUCCAUUAGCAGUUGCAGGUGCAUCGUUAUAUUUGCAAAAGGGAAGUGUCGUCAGAGGAAGAUAAAUC
rnacentral:misc_RNA from 1 species